UGGGGAAUAUUGGACAAUGGGCGCAAGCCUGAUCCAGCCAUGCCGCGUGAGUGACGAAGGCCUUAGGGUUGUAAAGCUCUUUUGGCGGGGAAGAUAAUGACGGUACCCGCAGAAUAAGCUCCGGCUAACUUCGUGCCAGCAGCCGCGGUAAUACGAAGGGAGCUAGCGUUGUUCGGAAUCACUGGGCGUAAAGCGCACGUAGGCGGAUGUGUCAGUCAGGGGUGAAAUCCCGGAGCUCAACUUCGGAACUGCCUUUGAUACAGCACGUCUUGAGUCCGAUAGAGGUGGGUGGAAUUCCUAGUGUAGAGGUGAAAUUCGUAGAUAUUAGGAAGAACACCGGUGGCGAAGGCGGCCCACUGGAUCGGUACUGACGCUGAGGUGCGAAAGCGUGGGGAGCAAACAG
rnacentral:rRNA from 1 species